UUGGAGGGCAAGUCUGGUGCCAGCAGCCGCGGUAAUUCCAGCUCCAAUAGCGUAUAUUAAAGUUGCUGCAGUUAAAAAGCUCGUAGUUGAAUUUCGGGGCCAUCAUGUCGGUCGUGCCUAGGUACGUGCUGGCAUUGUUGGUUUCUCCCUUCUGACGAACCACGAUGUCAUUUAUUUGGUGUUGUGGGGAAUCAGGACUGUUACUUUGAAAAAAUUAGAGUGUUUAAAGCAGGCUCACGCUUGAAUACAUUAGCAUGGAAUAAUGAAAUAGGACGUUUGAUUCUAUUUUGUUGGUUUCUAGGAUCGACGUAUGAUUAAUAGGGAUAGUUGGGGGCAUUAGUAUUCAAUUGUCAGAGGUGAAAUUCUUGGAUUUAUUGAAGACUAACUACUGCGAAAGCAUUUGCCAAGGAUGUUUUCAUUAAUCAAGAACGAAAGUUAGGGGAUCGAAGACGAUCAGAUACCGUCGUAGUCUUAACCAUAAACUAUGCCGACUAGGGAUCGGAUGAUGUUAAUUUUUUAAUGACUCAUUCGGCGCCUUACGGGAAAC
rnacentral:rRNA from 1 species